ACGUCUUUUUAAUUUCUUAAACUCCUAGGUCUAAGUAAUUGAAAACAACAUGUCCAAAUUUGUGUAUAUCUCCAAAGAUUGUCUUGGUAAUCCGGAAAUCAGAAUUGAGUUUCUUGAUUCUUGAAAUAUGUAAUUUGGAAUUAAGAUGAAAAAGAUCGAAAUCCCCUCUUGACGCCUUAACCUUGGAACGUGGAACGAGUGUUCAAAAAAAAAAAAAAAGACAUGAGGGGCGAAGAGAAGAAGCUAGGAA